ensembl:lncRNA
GAGGAAAUCUGUUUAUCUACCUUCUACCUACUCCACCGCCUCCAAGGAUUGCGAAUUUGCCCUCAAUGGAAUGUUUAUUUUGUCUACAGGUGGGAGAAGGGAGGCUGGCAGAAAUUAAGUAACUCGUCUAAGUCAUAUGGCUAAGAAAUGACCGACUUCUUAACUCGCGGCGCGCACACCUUUGGGCAUUGAACACCUGACGACCGAGGGGAGAGGCUGGGUCCCGCGCAGGCCUUCAUCCGAGAGCAGCCAGUGAAAGAAGAAAAAGUAAAAAGUGAAGAAGAGAGAUGCAAAAAGAGGCAAGAAAAGUGAAGCUAUGUGUGUACACAGGAAGGCCCACUGCAAGAACAGGAAGAUGGCAGCAGCUAUGAAGUCAAUGAUUGGCAUCUUUUAUAUCUUCUCAGAGACAGCAGUGCACUCUGACCACCAAAGUGGGCACCACAUUCCUGUAUCUCUGGGGGAUGGCCCCCGAUACCCUGGCCCUGGAUGGUGGCAACAGCCUAGCCUGCUCAAGCCAAUGAAGAAAAAAUGGUCCCCACUUUGCUCAAGCAGGUCAUAAACAAGAAUCUUAUUUGGUGCUAAAAGGAAACAUUGGAUGAAGUAACAACAAAUAACUGUCAAUCCCAGAACUGGGAUUGGUUUGACAGGUGAGCUAUUCCAUGUACAAUACCACCCUCUGCUGGCCAAAGGAGGAAGAGAGGCAGAAAGCUACAGAACCGCGCUGUACAGCUCCAAACCUUGGGAAGCGGCUGGGACUGGAGAGGGACCGGGAGCCUGGAUCUUGGACUUCCCAGUCUUCAGAACUCCAGAAGAAAAUAGAGGAUGCACAGUUAAAUUAGAAUCCCAGGAAGCAGCUCACAUGGGCUCGGAACAAAUACCGGCAGCUACUCCUCUGCCCUCAUUACCUGGAAAACAGGUGAGGGAACACACAGCUCAGCUGCACAUCCCAGGACCGGAGCAAGGCAGGAAGGUGGGGGGCCACAGGCAAGGUGACACACUGGUUAGCUGCCUCCGGCUUCUCAGGGACGGACAGUGGCUGCUUGGUGAUGCAGGACGUCACACAGACAGGCCAUGUGGAAGCCCCAUGCCCUCCUCAGGAGAGAGGGGUUCAUCUGCCAGAUCCACCAUCUCCUUCUGCCACGCAUCAGGCACGAACCCCCUGCCUGUCUGGGUUAGGCCAUGGGGCGGCUCCCAUGGCCUUCAGUGUGGCCCUUCAUGAGCCCAGAAGCAGGGGGACCCCACCCCCACCCCAUGCUAC